rnacentral:rRNA from 1 species
GAUGAACGCUAGCGAUAGGCUUAACACAUGCAAGUCGAGGGGCAGCAUGGUCUUAGCUUGCUAAGACUGAUGGCGACCGGCGCACGGGUGCGUAACGCGUAUGCAACUUGCCUCACAGAGGGGGAUAACCCGUCGAAAGACGGACUAAUACCGCGUACACUCUAUGUUGGGCAUCCAAUGUAGAGGAAAUGAAAUUCGCUGUGAGAUAGGCAUGCGUCCCAUUAGCUAGUUGGUGAGGUAACGGCUCACCAAGGCGACGAUGGGUAGGGGAACUGAGAGGUUGACCCCCCACACUGGUACUGAGACACGGACCAGACUCCUACGGGAGGCAGCAGUGAGGAAUAUUGGUCAAUGGGCGAGAGCCUGAACCAGCCAAGUCGCGUGAAGGAUGACUGUCUUAUGGAUUGUAAACUUCUUUUAUACGGGAAUAACAAGAGCCACGUGUGGCUCCCUGCAUGUACCGUAUGAAUAAGCAUCGGCUAACUCCGUG